GAAGUUUCAGCACUCGCUUUCCAAUUUGAACGUAAUUAUUACUUAGCCGUCCAAACGCGGCCAAUGUAUAGUCGUCUCUUUUAUGCGUGGGAGUCGGUGAUUUUCGUCCAAACGCGGCUAGUACUAAAUAAGAAUAUCCUGCUGCUAUUUGCAAAAUAUUGAUAUUUAGAUAUGCAAAAAAGAAAUUCUAUUUUACUAUCCCCAGUUAUUUGAUUUUUCCAUUUUCACCCCAUACAAAAUAGACUCGAUUUAGUCCCAAAACUUUUCGAACUGGGUCAGAUAACCCCAGAAUGAAUUUUUUAUUAAUUUUUUCUCCAUUAUAACAAGUUGUAUUUUAGGUUUAAAUCAUGUGGGGGAGAAUAUACAUUAUUAUACCGUAUCGAAUAAAAUAUUUCAGAAGUUUUCAUGAUUAUCUGGCAACCUUGAGCCAUACCAUCUGUUGUGGUUGAACUUGUGGUCUGAGUCAAACCUUAAAAUCUCACAAACUAUCCCAAAGGAAUAGGACAUGUUCAUGUCACCAUCCGCAUAUUAGGUUCACGUCACCAUUUGCAUAUUAGGUUCACGUCACCAUAUGCAUCACCAUCUACAUGUUAGAUUCAUGUUCACAUCACCAUCUGAAUAUGCAUAAACUUUAAGGUGGCCUAUAUUAAUAUAACAGACAUGCAAGGGAAAAAUGCUGCAACACUUAUUGAAUAGUUUUCCUUCCCAAAACUCCAAUCUCACAACACCUUAGCUGUUUGUGGUGCAACAGGUUUCGGAUUCCAUAACAUUGCCAUCUCUACACUCUCUAGACGAUGAGACAGCUCCCACCCGUCUCAUCUCAACAGUAUGCAACUAACAUGAACUAAUGAGGGAGAUAGAAUAUGAGGAUAUCCCAAAAAUCUAGUGUGAAUAACAUAACGCAGGGUACAUGACCAAGGAUGUGGUUAUAAAUAUAAUUUUAAUUACGCAGAGCUUGUACACAUGGAUCCACCCGAAAAAGAGGUGAGUUAGUAAUAAGCCGACCAAAUGAUACCCCACCUGUCGAAGAAUCUAGAAGUCACUCCAGGAAUCUUGCUUUCCUAAGCUUGGACGCAUCCUCCCGCAAGGUCACUCCGGGAACGUAAAACUCUCCUCACAGGGCCGAACAUGGGCCAUAGCAAUUUAAGGAGCAAAGGCAACUACCAUCCCCUUACACCAACAUGCCAUCCUCCUACAAGCAUGGUACCA
rnacentral:lncRNA from 1 species